rnacentral:rRNA from 1 species
UACAGAGGUCUCAAGCGUUGUUCGGAUUCAUUGGGCGUAAAGGGUGCGUAGGCGGCGCGGUAAGUCGGGUGUGAAAUCUCGGGGCUUAACUCCGAAACUGCAUUCGAUACUGCCGUGCUUGAGGACUGGAGAGGAGACUGGAAUUUACGGUGUAGCGGUGAAAUGCGUAGAUAUUGGGAAGAACACCUGAGGCGAAGGCGGGUUGCUGGGCUGAUACUGACGCUGAGGCGCGAAAGCCAGGGGAGCAAACGGG